GCAUGACAGUGGUAAUGGUCACGAGCCAUAUUACAGUUUGGAACGAGAAGAAGAAGAAGAUUUGAUUGAACGCCAUGGUGGACGAAUAACUGGAUCUAUCAGCCAAAGAAAAAAAAAUUAUCUACUAUUUGAUGAAGAUAUUGGGUCGAAAAUCUUCCAAAGCCAAAGAGCUGGGAACUGCUUUGCUCACUGAGGAUGGUCGUUUAUUUGACAUGA